rnacentral:rRNA from 1 species
UACAGAGGUGGCAAGCGUUGUUCGGCCUUCCUUUUCUUAAAUUUCUCUUAUUCGGCCCGUCAAGUCCCGUGUGAAAGCCCCCGGCUCAACCGGGGAACGGCGCGGGAAACUAGCAGGCUUGAGUUCGGGAGAGGGAAGCGGAAUUCCGGGUGUAGCGGUGAAAUGCGCAGAUAUCCGGAGGAACACCGGUGGCGAAGGCGGCUUCCUGGACCGACACUGACGCUGAGGCGCGAAAGCUAGGGGAGCAAACGGG